UACGAAGGGGGCUAGCGUUGUUCGGAAUCACUGGGCGUAAAGCGCGCGUAGGCGGCUUUGUAAGUCAGAGGUGAAAUCCCGGGGCUCAACUCCGGAACUGCCUUUGAUACUGGGGAUCUCGAGUCCGGGAGAGGUGAGUGGAACUGCGAGUGUAGAGGUGAAAUUCGUAGAUAUUCGCAAGAACACCAGUGGCGAAGGCGGCUCACUGGCCCGGAACUGACGCUGAGGUGCGAAAGCGUGGGGAGCAAACAGG
rnacentral:rRNA from 1 species